rnacentral:rRNA from 1 species
UAUUGGACAAUGGAGGCAACUCUGAUCUAGCCAUGCCGCGUGAAGGAAUAAGGCCCUAUGGGUUGUAAACUUCUUUUAGACGGGACAAAACCCCAUUACGUGUAAAGGGUUGAUGGUACUGUCAGAAUAAGCAUCGGCUAACUUCGUGCCAGCAGCCGCGGUAAUACGUAGGGGGCAAGCGUUGUCCGGAUUUACUGGGUGUAAAGGGCGCGCAGGCGGGAUAAAAAGUCAGUGGUGAAAUCCUACAGCUUAACUGUAGAACUGCCUUUGAUACUUUUAUUCUUGAGUUCGGGAGAGAGAGACGGAAUUCCAGGUGUAGUGGUGAAAUACGUAGAUAUCUGGAAGAACACCAGUUGCGAAGGCGGUCUCUUGGUCCGACACUGACGCUGAGGCGCGAAAGCGUGGGGAGCAAA